CGGAGGGGCUAGCGUUGUUCGGAAUUACUGGGGCGUAAAAGCGCACGUAGGCGGCUUGUAGUUAGAGUGAAGCCCGGGCUCAACUCCGGAAUUGCCUUUAAGACUGCAUCGCUUGAAUUGUGGAGAGGUGAGUGGAAUUCCGAGUGUAGAGGUGAAAUUCGUAGAUAUUCGGAAUAACACCAGUGGCGAAGGCGACUCACUGGACACAUAUUGACGCUGAGGUGCGAAAGCGUGGGGGAGCAAACAGGAUU
rnacentral:rRNA from 1 species